CCCUUAGAUGUUCUGGGCUGCACGCGCGCUACACUGAUGCACUCAACGAGUUUACGACCUUGCCCGAUAGGGUUGGGUAAUCUUUUUAAAAUGCACCGUGAUGGGGAUAGAUUAUUGCAAUUAUUAAUCUUCAACGAGGAAUGCCUAGUAGGCGCAAGUCAUCAGCUUGCGUCGAUUACGUCCCUGCCCUUUGUACACACCGCCCGUCGCUCCUACCGAUUGGGUGUGCUGGUGAAAUGUUCGGAUCGGCCGUUUGUCGCGGUUUCCGCGUCAUGUGGCUGAGAAGUUCAUUAAACCCUCCCACCUAGAGGAAGGAGAAGUCGUAACA
rnacentral:rRNA from 1 species